rnacentral:lncRNA from 1 species
GGAAAAGAAUCAAAAGGGCUCUUCUGAACAGGGAUCUCUCAAGGUAAACAGCCUCCCAGUUAGAAGUCGAUUUGUGGUCUCUGACAAAUUAAAUAUUACUGUUUAUUACCAGCCAUACCCCAAUAAAAUAAAGAGAGAACAAGGCUAUACCUACUAUCUCACCAGCCCCUGCACCUAUAGGACUCAGAGACGUCACCAGUCACGCAACUGCUCCCGCUGUCAUGGUUGACUGGCGCUGCAAAGGAAGGUCAAUUUCUUAUUUGUCUUCUCCUAUCAGUCAGGGAUAGGGGUUCCCCUCUUGCAAGCCAAAUCAGAAAGAGCGAAAAAUGUUUCAAAAAUAAAUUUCAAGAAAUAUAUAUGCAUAUAGGGCUGUGCCAAGAUGGGGUGGCAAACACUCCCGCCAAGCAGAAACUGGCUCGGUGGCUGGCCUUUCUUCCACGCAACCAGAGGAGGAAAGAUAGGAAACUGAUCGAGGAGGGGAAAGCCCCUCCUGCAGCCUGGCGGAGGGAGGAGAAACCCCGGGAAGAGAUCGGAUGGAGGACCUCCAAAAAGGCAUUCCAUCAAGAGUCUUAACUUCGGCCCAUUGUCCGCGAAGAAGACGAAGGGCCCUACCUGGUUCUAUGACAGCCCAGUUCGUUGGAUAGGAAUGGCCCUUGGAUUUUUCCAAGGGAGCACCGGUUCUGAUUGGUGGGAAAACUUAAUUUCUACCUUUGGGAACU